CCUACGGGAGGCAGCAGUGGGGGAUAUUGCACAAUGGGGGGAACCCUGAUGCAGCGACGCCGCGUGGGUGAAGGAGUGCUUCGGUAUGUAAAGCCCUAUCGGCAGGGAAGAAGCAAGACGGUACCUGACUAAGAAGCCCCGGCUAACUACGUGCCAGCAGCCGCGGUAAUACGUAGGGGGCGAGCGUUAUCCGGAUUCACUGGGUGUAAAGGGAGCGUAGACGGCCAUGCAAGCCAGGGGUGAAAGCCCGGGGCCCAACCCCGGGACUGCCCUUGGAACUGCAUGGCUGGAGUGCGGGAGGGGCAGGCGGAAUUCCUGGUGUAGCGGUGAAAUGCGUAGAUAUCAGGAGGAACACCGGCGGCGAAGGCGGCCUGCUGGACCGCGACUGACGUUGAGGCUCGAAAGCGUGGGGAGCGAACAGGAUUAGAUACCCUAGUAGUC
rnacentral:rRNA from 1 species